rnacentral:rRNA from 1 species
AUUGGAGGGCAAGUCUGGUGCCAGCAGCCGCGGUAAUUCCAGCUCCAAUAGUGUAUAUUAAAGUUGCUGUGAUUAAAACGCUCGUAGUUGAAUUAUAACACAUUUUGAAUUAGAAGCUUUACUUUGUAAAGUGGAUAAUUCGCUAUUUAAUGUUUAGGCGAUAUAUGAUUUAUUUCAUAUGUCAUUACUUUGAAAAAAAUAGGGUGUUUAAAGCAAAUCUUAUGUUAAUGAAUAAUGAAGCAUGGGACAAUAUUGAGGAGAUGGCUUGCCAUUUCGGGAAAAGGAUUAAUAGGAACAAUUGGGGUGAUUCAGAAAAUAACGGGAGAGGUAAAAUUCCAUGAUCGCUAUAAGAUGCACGAGAGCGAAAGCAUUUCACUCAAUUGCGUUCAUUAAUCAAGAACGAAAGUUAGGGGAUCGAAGACGAUCAGAUACCGUCGUAGUCCUAACUAUAAACGAUGUCAACCAAGGAUUGGAUUAGUCUUAGAAAUUUCUCGGUCUGGUAUCUUCGAUAUUAGAUUGAUAAAUUUCGCUUCCACCUUAUUCAGAACUUAAAGAGAAAUCUUGAGUUUAUGGACUUCAGGGGGAGU